UACGUAGGGUGCGAGCGUUGUCCGGAAUUAUUGGGCGUAAAGAGCUUGUAGGUGGCUCGUUGCGUCGGGAGUGAAAACCUGCGGCUUAACCGCAGGCCUGCUUCCGAGACGGGCGAGCUAGAGUUCGGCAGGGGAGACUGGAAUUCCUGGUGUAGCGGUGGAAUGCGCAGAUAUCAGGAGGAACACCGGUGGCGAAGGCGGGUCUCUGGGCCGAUACUGACACUGAGAAGCGAAAGCGUGGGGAGCGAACAGG
rnacentral:rRNA from 1 species